rnacentral:rRNA from 1 species
UACGGAGGGAGCUAGCGUUGUUCGGAAUUACUGGGCGUAAAGCGCGCGUAGGCGGCUUUGUAAGUCAGAGGUGAAAGCCUGGAGCUCAACUCCAGAACUGCCUUUGAGACUGCAUCGCUUGAAUCCAGGAGAGGUGAGUGGAAUUCCGAGUGUAGAGGUGAAAUUCGUAGAUAUUCGGAAGAACACCAGUGGCGAAGGCGGCUCACUGGACUGGUAUUGACGCUGAGGUGCGAAAGCGUGGGGAGCAAACAGG